UAGGGAAUCUUCCGCAAUGGGCGAAAGCCUGACGGAGCAACGCCGCGUGAGUGAUGAAGGUCUUCGGAUCGUAAAACUCUGUUAUUAGGGAAGAACAAAUGUGUAAGUAACUAUGCACGUCUUGACGGUACCUAAUCAGAAAGCCACGGCUAACUACGUGCCAGCAGCCGCGGUAAUACGUAGGUGGCAAGCGUUAUCCGGAAUUAUUGGGCGUAAAGCGCGCGUAGGCGGUUUUUUAAGUCUGAUGUGAAAGCCCACGGCUCAACCGUGGAGGGUCAUUGGAAACUGGAAAACUUGAGUGCAAAAGAGGAAAGUGGAAUUCCAUGUGUAGCGGUGAAAUGCGCAGAGAUAUGGAGGAACACCAGUGGCGAAGGCGACUUUCUGGUCUGUAACUGACGCUGAUGUGCGAAAGCGUGGGGAUCAAACAGG
rnacentral:rRNA from 1 species